rnacentral:rRNA from 1 species
GAUGAACGCUGGCGGCGUGCCUAAUACAUGCAAGUCGAGCGAACAGACGAGGAGCUUGCUCCUCUGACGUUAGCGGCGGACGGGUGAGUAACACGUGGAUACCCUACCUAUAAGACUGGGAUAACUUCGGGAAACCGGAGCUAAUACCGGAUAAUAUAUUGAACCGCAUGGUUCAAUAGUGAAAGACGGUUUUGCUGUCACUUAUAGAUGGAUCCGCGCCGCAUUAGCUAGUUGGUAAGGUAACGGCUUACCAAGGCAACGAUGCGUAGCCGACCUGAGAGGGUGAUCGGCCACACUGGAACUGAGACACGGUCCAGACUCCUACGGGAGGCAGCAGUAGGGAAUCUUCCGCAAUGGGCGAAAGCUUGACGGAGCAACGCCGCGUGAGUGAUGAAGGUCUUCGGAUCGUAAAACUCUGUUAUUAGGGAAGAACAAAUGUGUAAGUAACUAGGCACGUCUUGACGGUACCUAAUCAGAAAGCCACGGCUAACUACGUG